rnacentral:rRNA from 1 species
ACGAGAAUCUGCUGAAGGAGGAUUCGUCCAACGGAAGUAGAGGAAAGUGGCGGACGGGUGAGUAACGCGUGAGGAACCUGCCUUGAAGAGGGGGACAACAGUUGGAAACGACUGCUAAUACCGCAUGAUGCAUAAGGGUCGCAUGAUUCUUAUGCCAAAGAUUUAUCGCUUCAAGAUGGCCUCGCGUCUGAUUAGCUAGUUGGCGGGGUAACGGACCACCAAGGCGACGAUCAGUAGCCGGACUGAGAGGUUGAACGGCCACAUUGGGACUGAGAUACGGCCCAGACUCCUACGGGAGGCAGCAGUGGGGAAUAUUGGGCAAUGGGCGCAAGCCUGACCCAGCAACGCCGCGUGAAGGAAGAAGGCUUUCGGGUUGUAAACUUCUUUUAAGAGGGAAGAGCAGAAGACGGUACCUCUAGAAUAAGCCACGGCUAACUACGUGCCAGCAGCCGCGGUAAUACGUAGGUGGCAAGCGUUGUCCGGAUUUACUGGGUGUAAAGGGCGUGCAGCCGGGUCUGCAAGUCAGAUGUGAAAUCCAUGGGCUCAACCCAUGAACUGCAUUUGAAACUGUA